CAGCACCUCAAGUGGUCAGGAUGAUUAUUGGGCCUAAAGCAUCCGUAGCCGGCGCUGUAAGUUUUCGGUUAAAUCUGUACGCUCAACGUACAGGCUGCCGGGAAUACUGCAGCGCUAGGGAGUGGGAGAGGUAGACGGUACUCGGUAGGAAGGGGUAAAAUCCUUUGACCUAUUGAUGACCACCUGUGGCGAAGGCGGUCUACCAGAACACGUCCGACGGUGAGGGAUGAAAGCUGGGGGAGCAAACCGGAUUAGAGACCCGAGUAGUCC
rnacentral:rRNA from 1 species